CCUACGGGGGGCUGCAGUGGGGAAUCUUGCGCAAUGGCCGAAAGGCUGACGCAGCGACGCCGCGUGGGGGAGGAAGGUCUUCGGAUUGUAAACCCCUGUUGCCCGGGACGAAUGCCCCUUUCGAGGGGAGUGACGGUACCGGGUGAGGAAGCACCGGCUAACUCUGUGCCAGCAGCCGCGGUAAUACAGAGGGUGCGAGCGUUGUCCGGAAUCACUGGGCGUAAAGGGCGCGUAGGUGGCUCGCCAAGCGGAAAGCCCGGGGCGCAACUCCGGGUCGGCCGUGCGAACUGGCGGGCUUGAGCUCGGUAGAGGCCGAUGGAAGUCCGGGUGUAGCGGUGGAAUGCGUAGAGAUCCGGAAGAACACCGGUGGCGAAGGCGGUCGGCUGGGCCGAUGCUGACACUGAUGCGCGACAGCGUGGGGAGCAAACAGGAUUAGAUACCCUAGUAGUC
rnacentral:rRNA from 1 species